rnacentral:rRNA from 1 species
GUGCAUGGCAGACGGGUGAGUAACGCGUGGGGAAUCUACCUCUUUGUGGGGAAUAACGCUCCGAAAGGAGUGGUAAUACCGCAUGAGAUCCAUGGCUGGGAUGCUGUGGAUGAAACCUGGGGACCGCAAGGCCUGGGGCAAGGAGAGGAUCCUGCGUCUGAUUAGCUAGUUGGUGAGGUAAUGGCCCACCAAGGCGACGAUCAGUAGCCGGCCUGAGAGGGUGAUCGGCCACACUGGAACUGAGACACGGUCCAGACUCCUACGGGAGGCAGCAGUGGGGAAUUUUGCGCAAUGGACGAGAGUCUGACGCAGCAACGCCGCGUGGGUGAUGAAGGUCUUCGGACUGUAAAACCCUGUCGUCAGGGACGAAGGUGGCACGACUAAUAAUCGUGUUACUUGACGGUACCUGGAGAGGAAGCCCCGGCUAACUCUGUGCCAGCAGCCGCGGUAAUACAGAGGGGGCAAGCGUUAUUCGG